GGUUGAUACAAAUGUUAUACCCCGUAUAUUUAUACGUCAAAUUAUUCGCAAGCAAGUCGAAUCAAGUUAAAGGCGGAAUUAUUUUCGGACACGAAAUAGAAAUCUUUAAUUUUUUUUAAUUUUAAUUAAAACAUAAAUUGUUUAUAAAUUUUAUUGGUAUAAAGAUAUUAUUGGAGAUUAGGGGUAAAUUAACUAUGAUUAGAUUAUUAAGUGGGAUUAAAAUUUAAUCACUUCAUUAAUUAAUUAAGCCUAAGGGGCCAUGUGGGCCCCACCCGAAUAAAAAAAAAAAGAAAAAAAAAGGGGGGAAUCAAAUCUGAAAAUUAAAGAAACAAGGUGCAAAAGUGAGUCCUCAAAAGAGGGAAUACGUGUAGCAAUAUGGGGAAUAAUAUAUAAAAUAAGGCAUAGUGCAAAUGACACUUUCCAACUCCACUUGUUGAAAAAUCAGCUUUCAAGAACUAAACAAACCAAGAAAAAGAAGAGUUGAAAGAGAAGGAGGUCACGGCUAGAGUGGAGAAAAAACAAAAUCAGUUUUGUGAUUUAAUAAAAUUCUAAGGAGAAGACAAGGAGAGGGAGGUGGAGAAGCAAGAAUAAGUAUAAGAAUUUAAGACACAAAUUGGAGCCAAGUAUUCAAGGUAAGAAUUGGUUAUUUCUUUUACAUUUAUAAUGAGUUUGGAUACAUUAUGAACAUGUAUAGAUGAUGAAUUGAAUGUAUAUAAUUUUUUUUGCAUGUCGGUAUUGGAUUGUUGUUGUUGAAGUUGAAGUGAGCCGUGAGUGAUAGGUUUAGAUGGAAUCAUGCUUAAUCUUCUUGUACAUGUAUUGGGAGUAAAUUGAAUGUGUUGUGGUGUGGAUAAAUGGAUAAAAAAAAAUCAUGAAGUUGUCGUAGUUGUGUUGAAGCCGUGUAGGGGGCUGUUUUGAGGCUAGUUGUGCGUUUGACGUAAAUUGUAUAUUUUAUGAAAAUCAUAUCGUUAUAUUGUGGAUUGUGAUACAAAACAUGACUUAAAAAUAAGGAAAGCAACGAGAGGGCUGCUCACAGUUUAGGGGACUGGUUUCGGCCAGCUUUGGGAAAAUUUUUGGAUUGUUGGAAAAAAAUUAUGUGAAUGGUUUAGAAGUCCUCUAAUGUUGUUAGUAUGGAUUUGGGUUAAUAAUCGAAUGUACGAACGAUAUUGUGGCUUGAAAGUAAGCCGUUGAAACGAAUAUUUGGAAAGUUGUUGAAAGAUGUAAAAGAGAGCUAUUAAUGUUGUUUUGCCUUUCGAAUUGAUUAUUGAUGUUGCUAGGUUGGUUAUUGUGGUUGUUGUUGAUUUUGAGCGAGAUAAAUUCUCGGGAUGGCCUAUUUAUAGGGGAAGUGCUGCCGAAUUUUCUGUAGAAUUUAAUGAUUAGUUGGAAAGAAUGGCUCAAGUGUCCUUAACUAAUGUUUGGUAUUCGUUGGCGUAUUUGUAGACCUUGGGGAGCCCGAGGCGUAGAUUGGAAAUUUACUUUAGAUUGGCUAUUUUGGAAGUGCGUAAGAGGUACAGACGCACAGCCUGGUGAUCCACCUGUUUAGGACACCCUUUCUGCUAUUCGGAGUGCUCCUCUCUUUCCGGAGCUUAUACUUUUGGUAUAUAUAUUUUUAUUAGUGCAUUUGUAUAUAUUCGUUCAUGGGUACGGCGGGGGCCCUGUCCCGUCAUAUGAUUCUGUCGGUCUGUUUAGAGGUCUGUGGACAUGUUUGUGGGUUAGGGUCUUUCUGUAUGGAUGUAUGUACAUGUCGUUUGGGCGAUCCCAUACGCCGAGGCGGCCGGUCCGCAUAUGUUGUUUGGGCGAUCCUAUACGCCGAGGCGGCCGGUCCGCAUAUGUUUAUAUAUUGCUUGGUUAGCCCUG